CCGUGGCUGGAACCGGUGCUAAAGGGCCUUUAACACUGGCUGGUGUUACGCGCCGGUGUUAAAGGGUCCCUUUAGCAUCGGUUCCAGCCACGGA
rnacentral:pre_miRNA from 1 species